rnacentral:rRNA from 1 species
UGAGUAACCUGCCCUCAGCUUUGGGAUAACCCUCGGAAACGGGGGCUAAUACCGGAUACUCCGGCUGGAUCGCAUGGUCCGGCCGGGAAAGGUCCGCCGGAGAGGGAUGGGCCCGCGGCCUAUCAGCUUGUUGGUGGGGUAACGGCUCACCAAGGCUACGACGGGUAGCUGGUCUGAGAGGAUGGCCAGCCACAUUGGGACUGAGACACGGCCCAGACUCCGUACGGGAGGCG